ACUGUGGAGUGUACAUUGUUGUUCCAACAUUGGAACUUGUGAGUAGCGUGUUGCUUGCAAUCGUCAAAACAUGCACAAUGAAGCAGUAA
rnacentral:sRNA from 12 species